AGUAGCUGACUACCCCUUGGUGGCUGAACACCACCUCGACCCAUGCUUGGCACCUAAACUGGGAUUCUAGGGCAGUUCUUAAUUCUAUGCUCCAUAGUUCCACAAGCUAGACAAGUUCCUGUCCUCUUCCAACACACGCCUACAUGACCUUUCCUACAAUCAGCACAAGGUGGCACCCUUGGAUUAACAGCAGGGGGCCCUGCUCUGACUGGCCCAUUAACU
rnacentral:lncRNA from 1 species